GGCAGUUUCAGUUCCAAGGCUAUGGGGACCUAGAUUGGACCUAAAGGUCCCCUGGGUUCCAAUUUCAGUUUCGACUUGGUCUGAUUCAACUUUCGAAUUUGAUCUGUUAAGGAUUAAGGAACCAAGAGUGUGUAUCAAAUUGACAAGCUGUACGAUAUACUAGGCUUGAAAUUGGGCUCCCCAUUAUCAAAAUGGCACAAGUUAUUUUGAUUUGGUUUGCCAACAAUUAUAUGUUCUUUAAUUUUCUUGCACACUACAAAUGUGGGACUUAUUCCCACAAGUG
rnacentral:misc_RNA from 1 species